rnacentral:rRNA from 1 species
GUCCACGCCGUAAACGGUGGGUACUAGGUGUGGGGGACAUUCCACGUUCUCCGUGCCGCAGCUAACGCAUUAAGUACCCCGCCUGGGGAGUACGGCCGCAAGGCUAAAACUCAAAGGAAUUGACGGGGCCCCGCACAAGCGGCGGAGCAUGCGGAUUAAUUCGAUGCAACGCGAAGAACCUUACCUGGGUUUGACAUAUGCCGGAAACAUCCAGAGAUGGAUGCCCCUUUUUGGUCGGUUUACAGGUGGUGCAUGGCUGUCGU